CUCUUCUAAGGAUUCAACUCAGGGCAGUGAGCUGUCCCACAGAAUGCUAACACCCUGCCUUCCCAUCGAGGAAGCCCCCCUUUUCUCCCCCACUACAGCUCUUCAAGGGUCCACUCGAGCCAGGAGCUGCAGCAUGUUCUGUUUAAAGGAAACCACCCUCCACCACAUGCCCAGCAGAGGCCGCGACAACUUUACAACGGAAGGAAUUUCCUUCCUCAUUCCCAGGCUCCAACAUCUUCACCGUUAGUCAUAAAUCUGAAGACAGAUGUCAUGGGUGCGGGGAGCUGACGGCUGACCCUGUAGGAAUGAAUAGGACCUGGCGUUGAAGAACUGUAGAAAGAAAGUUGCUAAAAAGAGGCUUUGAGUGCACAGAGAACUUAACAUCUUGGCCAGACCAUGAGUUGUGUCCUCAUCUAAAGCCUCCACCUCUAGGUUCAAAGUCUAUCUUCCUCCACAGGCUCAGGACAGGGACAGGGCCUGCCUGGCUCUCCUGAAGUAACACUGGUGUUAGGUUUGCCUAAUGUGGUGGUUUGAAUAGAUUUGGGCCCCAUAGACUCAUGUGCUUGAAUGCUUGGCCCAGGGAGUGGCAUUUUUAGGAGGUGUGGCCUGGUUAGAGUAUGGCUUUGCUGGAAGAAGUGUAUAGUUGUGGCUUUAAGGUUUCCUCCAAUGCUCAGGCUCUACCCAGUGUGGAUGAAAGUCUCCUGGCUGCCUUAGGAUCAAGAUGUAGAUCUCUCAUCUCCUCCCGCACCGUGCCUUCUUCACACUGCCAUGCUUCCUGCCAUGAUGAUAAUGGACUAAACCUCUGAAACUGUAAGCCAGCCCCAAUGAAAUGCUUUCCUUUAUAAGAGUUGCCCUGGCCAUGGUGUCUCUUCACAGCAAUGGAAACCCUAACAAGGUAGAUAUGAAGUGUACCGCAGAGGGCUCAUGGCUGGAGCAGCAGUGCCAUGGGGAGGUAAGCAGGCUUCAUCCACGAAGUACUCCCUUGAUGACUACAUGGCUAAAUAGGCAGUGGGGCCAAGUUAGAAUUAGUGGCUCACUAGAAUCAAGCCUUUGAAUGGUGUGUCUUAUCCUCAUGGCCUUCCUUCCUCUCUCCGUCUCCCUCGGUGUCUCUGCUUUCUAGAUGCUGUGAAGUGAGAGGACUCUGCCACACCCUUUUCACCAUAAAGUUCUGCUUCACCACAGGCCCAGAAGCAAUGGCACUAGUCAGUCAGAGGUUGACAUCUCUGACACUGUGAACCGAAGUCAACUCCUUUCUCCUUCCAAGUUGUCUUCUGAAGUAGUUUCGCUGUAACCAUGACAGCCAACGCAUCACCUUUCAUCUGUAUAUUCUCUUUAUACUAUAAAAUUGGAACUCUUAAGC
rnacentral:lncRNA from 1 species